rnacentral:rRNA from 1 species
GUGGGGGAUAUUGCACAAUGGGGGAAACCCUGAUGCAGCAACGCCGCGUGAAGGAAGAAGGUCUUCGGAUUGUAAACUUCUGUCCUCAGGGAAGAUAAUGACGGUACCUGAGGAGGAAGCUCCGGCUAACUACGUGCCAGCAGCCGCGGUAAUACGUAGGGAGCGAGCGUUGUCCGGAUUUACUGGGUGUAAAGGGUGCGUAGGCGGAUAGGCAAGUCAGUGGUGAAAUCUAUGGGCUUAACCCAUAAACUGCCAUUGAAACUGUUUAUCUUGAGUGGAGUAGAGGCAGGCGGAAUUCCCGGUGUAGCGGUGAAAUGCGUAGAGAUCGGGAGGAACACCAGUGGCGAAGGCGGCCUGCUGGGCUUUAACUGACGCUGAGGCACGAAAGUGUGGGUAGCAAACAGGAUUAGAAACCCCAGUAGUCC